rnacentral:lncRNA from 1 species
CGAGCCCUCUACUUCAUUAAAAUACCAAUAAAUUCAAGCAUCGAAUUUGUACAUGUAUUUAUUCAUCCGAGUAGUGACUAGACUUUUGGUUCAUCCUCUUUCGAUAGUGUAAGAGGCGUCAACAGGAACAUCUUGCAGGCAAGCAUGGUGGUGCACGUCGGCUCUCAGUUACUCGCUCGUUGCGCGAUCUUCGAACGUUAAAAUCGAUCCCGAUCGGAACCGU